GGUGGACUCUGUGUUAACAGCUGCGGAAAUGCACAAAAACCUAUUAUCCAUGGGGGAAGUCAGGCUAUACAGAAAUUAGGACACAGUUCUGAUGAAGAGAGUGCUCUGGAGCAGCUGCAGACCCGAAUUCGUGCUGUCCCAGGAAUCCAGGCCUCCUCCAAAACAUCCCCAGCCUUUUUGCAAGCGGAAAAAGGUGAGUAACGUAGUACACAGGGAACUGCUCAACUCAAGCUAAGACAGCAAUGAGGGAAGUGUUGGCUAUUUUAAAAGUUAGUGGCUUUUCUAACUCAUUAUGGAAUUAAAAUUAAUACAUUAAAAAAAAUAGCAUCUACUACAUACACCCUUUACUGAGCCAAUGUUACAAGAAAUGAAACAACCAAAAAAAGGGGAUUUUUAAAAAUUUGUUGUGGUGGUUUUUGUUUUUUUUUUCUUUCUUCCAGAAGACCCAGCAGAGAGUUUGAGAGAAGCCAUUUGCUGCUUAGUCUUUUUGAGAAAACUCACAUUAAACUACUUGGACUGGCAAGAGGAAAUUCAGUGGAACAGAUAUUUUGGUGUCACCUUCUUAUCUGAAUGUGCUUCUGCCAAACGUCUUUUUAUGCACAUUAUGAUGCAUAUCAGAGUACCUCAUGUUGAAGUCAAGCUCCCAGCUGCAGCUUAAUUUUAUGUCACUUGUCUAAUUAUGGUAAUUAGACAUUAGUUAUCAUCAAUUACACAUAAGCUCAUCUCGAGUUGACUGCUGCAAAGCAUGUAGAAAGCACCUUCCCAGUCUCGAGGGAAGACUCUGGUUGGCUGGCUCGAGCAAGUCACAGGAAACUAGAAAGGAGUUUUCACCAUCAUCAACAUAUCGUAAACCACAUUCCCAACUGAGCAGUUCAAAGUUUUAUUUCAUAAACUCUUGCAAAGGUGAGUGGACGUAAGGAUCAAUGAGAGCAAGAAGCUUGCUCUGUUUGACCCGCUCCAUCAGGCUGAUUUUAAACUUCUUUGCAUAUUCAUACAUGUAGAACGCAAGUUCUACAGAAAUCAGUGCCACGGGUAUUAUCAUUAAAUUAAAGCCAGCAUCUCCUGGAACGGAUACUUUUUGCUUAAACUUUAUUUUUACUCCUAGUAUCUUCACCUAAUGAUAAUAAGAAGUUACAUCAGAUUCACUCAAAACUACCCGUUCAGUGAAUUCGUAACUCCGUUUGCUGCAAGCAGCAGCCAGUUCUGAUUUCCACGGAGAAAAGCUGCAGUUGCUCAUCUACAACCCUGCAGAGCAGCUGAUCUCAAAAGGUGGCUCAACGGGUGAGCAAAACUGUCACAGCUACAGGAACCCUGCGCUCGUGCCAGCCUCUGUGAGUCUCUUUGGACGGGCUGGAAAAAACAAUUCCAGAAGCACUAAGAGUUUUGUCAGGGUAACUGCAUCUGCCCUGCCAGCUCUCGGCACACUGAGGGUCAGGCAUCACCCAUUUCUGCCAAAAUUACACCCGCAGGAAUUUGCAGUCUGGGGGGGCUUCUGGAAGAACGAGAUUUCAUUAAACAAAAAGGAUUCCAAAAAGGAGAAAAGUUACCACAAUAAAAAAAGCCUCUCGGUCAACACCAACUUCUUACACACACCUGUCCUUACACGCUGCUUAUUAUCUACUGGUACUCCGAGGAGGACGCUCCUCUGGAAAGCUCCCUCUCAGUAGCAUUUUGGCCACCAAAUUUUGGAAGUUCCCACAAUAGUUUAAGAACGUAUCACAACUCCGUUAAUACUCAAGGCUUUGAGAGAAGAGGCUGAGAAACAGGAGUUACAGCAGAGCCAGUGUUUUAAGCAUGAUUUAGAAAGUCCUUGCAAACCAGUAAAAUCCUUCACACUUCAAUCCUUCAUAAUCCAUCACUUUUAUGGAUGUUUAAGAAAAAAAAAA